CGGCGGCAGCGCGACGCCAUGUCGGAGAGGUCGCGGCUGAGGGACGCGCCGCCGCCAUCUUGAGAGGGUGCAGCCCGGCUGUCGGCGGCGCGGCACCAUCUUGGGGAAGUCGCGCUGGCUCCGCCCAGAGAGGAGGCUGGAACUGGGAGCCGUGCACAGGUGUAACUUCUUGCACUGGAGUGAAGCUACAAUAAUUGGGUCUCCAGGUCUGCUGCCCCAUACACAGCUUCCCAUUAAGGAUGUAGAGAGCUGUGGAAGGACUCAGGAACUAGUGAAUGCCGACAGUUCAGACAACAUGUUUAGCUGCCAAGGCAAAGAGAGACAAGAAUAGUGCAACUUUGCUGCCUUUUUCAGCUGCAAUAGCACCAUCGCCUCUUGCCGAGCCAGCAGCGAGACAGACCCCACGGACAAAUAACCAUCACUUCACAACACGGAAAGAGGAGGAGGAGGAGGAGGAGGAAGAGAGAGCGAGCGAGCGAGACCGGGAGAACUAAACCCCCCUGAAGGAUGGUUCUCAAAAAUUUCUGUCGGAACCUGGGGGACUCGGUCGGAGCGCGGGAGCCGUCCGCGGAGCUACUCUCUGGAUUUAUGCUGAAUGAGAAGUGGAAUUACUGAAUUAACGGCCAGGAAGCGAGCAUCGUGUGUGACAUCCUGC